rnacentral:rRNA from 1 species
AGAAUAGUAAAUAUAUUUUUUGAGUAGUAUUAGAGUUCUUAAAACUAAAAGAGUUUGGCGGUACCUAAGUCUUCUUAGAGGAACCUGUAGGUUUAUCGAUAAUCCCCGAGAAUCUUACUGGGGUUAAGUAUGUAUAUCGUUGUCAUCAGAAUAAUCUUAAGGAUUUUUUCGAAUUUUAUGUUUAUAGAGAAUGUCAAAUCAAGGUGCAGCUGAUAUCUCAGGUCUUUAUGGGUUACAAUAUCUAGGAUAUAUGAAUCUCUCAUUGGAAUAUUAGGGUGAAGGUGGAUUUAAUUGUAAUUUUUUAUUAGAGUGGAAUAAUGAAUAAGUACUAAGGUAUGC